AGAGUUUGAUCCUGGCUCAGGACGAACGCUGGCGGCGUGCCUAACACAUGCAAGUCGAACGGAAGCAAAGAUUUCGGUUUUUGCUUUAGUGGCGAACGGGUGAGUAACGCGUGAGGAACCUGCCUUUCAGUGGGGGACAACAGUUGGAAACGACUGCUAAUACCGCAUAAUGCUUUUGAGUGGCAUCACUUAAAAGCCAAAGAUUUAUUGCUGAAAGAUGGCCUCGCGUCUGAUUAGCUAGUUGGCGGGGUAACGGCCCACCAAGGCGACGAUCAGUAGCCGGUCUGAGAGGAUGAACGGCCACAUUGGGACUGAGAUACGGCCCAGACUCCUACGGGAGGCAGCAGUGGGGAAUAUUGGGCAAUGGGGGAAACCCUGACCCAGCAACGCCGCGUGAAGGAAGAAGGCCUUCGGGUUGUAAACUUCUUUUACCAGGGACGAAGGACGUGACGGUACCUGGAGAAAAAGCAACGGCUAACUACGUGCCAGCAGCCGCGGUAAUACGUAGGUUGCGAGCGUUGUCCGGAUUUACUGGGUGUAAAGGGCGUGUAGGCGGAGAUGCAAGUUGGGAGUGAAAUCCAUGGGCUCAACCCAUGAACUGCUUCCAAAACUGUAUCCCUUGAGUAUCGGAGAGGCAAGCGGAAUUCCUAGUGUAGCGGUGAAAUGCGUAGAUAUUAGGAGGAACACCAGUGGCGAAGGCGGCUUGCUGGACGACAACUGACGCUGAGGCGCGAAAGCGUGGGGAGCAAACAGGAUUAGAUACCCUGGUAGUCCACGCUGUAAACGAUGAAUACUAGGUGUGCGGGGACUGACCCCCUGCGUGCCGCAGUU
rnacentral:rRNA from 1 species